AGCAGCCGCGGUAAUUCCAGCUCCAAUAGCGUAUAUUAAAGUUGUUGCAGUUAAAAAGCUCGUAGUUGAAUUUCGGGGUCAGUAGAUUGGUCAUGCCUCCGGUAUGUACUGGUCUUACUGGCUCCUCCUUCCUGAUGAACCGUAAUGCCAUUAAUUUGGUGUUGCGGGGAGACUGGACUGUUACUUUGAAAAAUUAGAGUGUUUAAAGCAGGCUAACGCUUGAAUACAUUAGCAUGGAAUAAUGAAAUAGGACGUUCGAUCUUAUUUUGUUGGUUUCUAAGAUUGACGUAAUGAUUAAUAGGGAUAGUUGGGGGCAUUAGUAUUCAAUUGUCAGAGGUGAAAUUCUUGGAUUUAUUGAAGACUAACUACUGCGAAAGCAUUUGCCAAGGAUGUUUUCAUUAAUCAAGAACGAAAGUUAGGGGAUCGAAGACGAUCAGAUACCGUCGUAGUCUUAACCAUAAACUAUGCCGA
rnacentral:rRNA from 1 species